rnacentral:rRNA from 1 species
AAUAUUGCGCAAUGGAGGGAACUCUGACGCAGCGACGCCGCGUGAGCGAUGAAGGUCUUCGGUUCGUAAAGCUCUGUCCUUGGGGAAGAAGGCCUUCGGACUUGACGGCACCUAGGGAGGAAGCCCCGGCUAACUACGUGCCAGCAGCCGCGGUAAUCCGUACGGGGCAAGCGUUGUCCGGAAUUAUUGGGCGUAAAGGGUGCGUAGGCGACCUUUUAAGUCAGGUGUGAAAGCCCACGGCUUAACCGUGGGACUGCAUUUGAAACUGGAGGGCUUGAGUAUCGGAGAGGGUAGUGGAAUUCCCAGUGUAGCGGUGGAAUGCGUAGAUAUUGGGAGGAACACCAGUGGCGAAGGCGACUAACUGGUCUGUAACUGACGCUGAGGCGCGAAAGCGUGGGGAGCAAACA